rnacentral:tRNA from 1 species
UCCCUGGUGGUCUAGUGGUUCAGACUCAGGCUUUCACUGCUGUGGACCCAGGUUCGGUCCCUGGUCAGGGAA